rnacentral:rRNA from 1 species
AGCGAACGCUGGCGGCAGGCUUAACACAUGCAAGUCGAGCGGGCGUAGCAAUACGUCAGCGGCAGACGGGUGAGUAACGCGUGGGAACGUACCUUUUGGUUCGGAACAACCCAGGGAAACUUGGGCUGAUACCGGAUAAGCCCUUACGGGGAAAGAUUUAUCGCCGAAAGAUCGGCCCGCGUCUGAUUAGCUAGUUGGUGAGGUAAUGGCUCACCAAGGCGACGAUCAGUAGCUGGUCUGAGAGGAUGAUCAGCCACAUUGGGACUGAGACACGGCCCAAACUCCUACGGGAGGCAGCAGUGGGGAAUAUUGGACAAUGGGCGCAAGCCUGAUCCAGCCAUGCCGCGUGAGUGAUGAAGGCCCUAGGGUUGUAAAGCUCUUUUGUGCGGGAAGAUAAUGACGGUACCGCAAGAAUAAGCCCCGGCUAACUUCGUGCCAGCCGCCGCGGUAGCAC